rnacentral:sRNA from 1 species
GUGCAUCGCGCCGCGGAACCAUUCGGCCUC